rnacentral:rRNA from 1 species
UGCCGCUUGCGAGGGCGUAUGGUGGAUGCCUUGGCAGACAGUACCGAUGAAGGACGUUUGAGGAUGCGAUAAUCCUAGGGGAGCCUCCAACAUGGCUUUGAUCCUAGGGUCUCCGAAUGGGGGAACCCGCCGGCCGUCAUGGGCCGGCACCGCCUAUGGGCGGGGGGUACGCAGGGAAGUGAAACAUCUCAGUACCUGCAGGAAGGGAUACUCCGUGAGUAGUGGCGAGCGAAAGCGGAUCAGACCAAACCGGUUGCGCGUGAUACCCGUCGGGGGUUGCGUUGCCGGUGUUGUGGGAUCACGUGUCCCGGUUCCGACGGGCCGGGCGGGAGUCAUAAAACGGCUUGCCAGGGGAACAGGCUUGAAGGCCUGGCCGUAGAGGGUGCCAGCCCCGUACCUGGACGUGAGCCGUCUUCCGAUCGUGUUGUCCCAAGUAGCGCGGGCCUCGUGGAAUCCCGCGUGAAUCAGCCCAGACCGUUGGGUAAGUCUAAGCAUACCUGUCUGACCGAUAGCGUACCAGUACCGUGAGGGAAAGGUGAAAAGCACCCCGGGAGGGGAGUGAAACAGUUCCUGAAACCGUGCGCCCACAAACCGUCGGAGCCUCUGCGUGGGGUGACGGCGUGCCUAUCGAAAAAUGAGUCUGCGAGUCAGUGGCGGGUGGCGAGCAUAAGCCGUGUGGCGUAUGCGUAGCGAAAGCGAGUCUUAAAAGGCGUUUUUUAGUCGCUUGUCCUGGACCCGAAGCGGGAUGAUCUAGCCCUGGGCAGGUUGAAGCGCGGGUAAGACCGCGUGGAGGACCGAACCCACCUGGGUUGAAAACCGGGGGGAUGACCUGGGGCUAGGGGUGAAAGGCCAAUCAAAUUCCGUGAUAGCUGGUUCUCUCCGAAAUGCAUUUAGGUGCAGCGUCGGUUGAUUGCGUCGCGGGGGUAGAGCUACCGGAUGCUUGCGGGCCCUUGUUGGGUACCAACAGCAGCCGAACUCCGAAUACCGUUGACGUGUAUUCCGGCAGUGAGUCGGCGGGGGAUAAGCUCCGUCGUCGAGAGGGAGACAGCCCAGACCGUCGUCUAAGGUCCCGAAGCGUGUGCUAAGUGGGAAAGGAUGUGGAGUCGCAUAGACAGCCAGGAGGUUGGCUCAGAAGCAGCCAUCCUUGAAAGAGUGCGUAACAGCUCACUGGUCUAGUGGUUCCGCGCCGACAAUGUAGCGGGGCUCAAGCACACCACCGAAGACGCGGCAGCAAUCUUCAUGGUUGCUGGGUAGGAGAGCGUCCUGCGAGGGGCGAAGCGGCCGGGUGACCGUGCCGUGGACUUCGUGGGAGUGAGAAUGCAGACAUGAGUAGCGAGAGACGGGUGAGGAUCCCGUCCGCUGGAUGACCAAGGGUUCCGGGGCCACGUUCGUCGUCCCCGGGUGAGUCGGGUCCUAAGGCGAGGCCGACAGGCGUAGUCGAAUGGAUGAACGGGUGGAUAUUCCCGUACCGACCAUGGACCGGCAAAACCGAGACGGUGAGUACUAACCUCCGCCUCGUGGUGGUUCCUUCCUUCGGGUUGGUUCCGUCGCGUGGUGUUGGGAGCGUAGCCGCAGUAGGUCAGCGCAGGGGUGACACGGAAUGGGAGCCGGCCGCGGAGGUGGUUUUCCGUGGUCAAGCACGCAGCCAGUCAUGUAGGCAAAUCCGCAUGGCGUGCAUGGCGAGGUGUGAUGAUGGGAGCCGUUAUGGUUCGAUAUCCGGUUGUCCAGGCCGUCGAGAAAAGCCUCGGCGUGAGGGCCAUGGCCGCCCGUACCCCAAACCGACACUGGUGGUCAGGUAGAGAAUACCAAGGCGAUCGAGCGAAUCCUGGUCAAGGAACUCGGCAAAUCACUCCCGUGCCUUCGGUAUAAGGGAGACCCACUGGGGUGAAGGACCUUGCGUCCGGAGCUUUGGUGGGUGGCACAGACCAGGGGGUAGCGACUGUUUACCAAAAACACAGGUGCAUGCGAAGGCGAAAGCCGCUGUAUAUGCACUGACGCCUGCCCGGUGCCGGAAGGUUAAGAGGAUCCGUCAAUCCCUUCGGGGACGAAGCGGUGAAUUCAAGCCCCGGUAAACGGCGGUGGUAACUAUAACCAUCCUAAGGUAGCGAAAUUCCUUGUCGGGUAAGUUCCGACCUGCACGAAUGGCGUA